rnacentral:rRNA from 1 species
GAUGAACGCUGGCGGCGUGCAUAACACAUGCAAGUCGAACGAUGAAACCUAACUGAUUUCUUCGGAAUGAUGUUAAGUGGAUUAGUGGCGGACGGGUGAGUAACGCGUGAGUAACCUGCCUUGGAGAAGGGGGUAGCCUUUGGAAACGAAGAAUAAUACCCUAUGAUAUGAUCAUAUCUCAUGUUAGUAUCAUCAAAGAUUUAUCGCUCAAAGAUGGACUUGCGUCUGAUUAGUUGGUUGGUGAGGUAACAGCUCACCAAGCCAGCGGUCAGUAGCCGGCUUGGAAGAGUGGCCAGCCUCGGUGUGACAGAGACACGACCCAGACUCCUGCGGGAGGCGGCGGUGAUGAAUCUUAAACAGUGAGGGAAACCCUGAUGCAGCGCCGCCGCGUGAUUUAGAAUCUCUUUGGGUUGUAAAAAUCUUUUGUAUGAGAAGAAAAUGACGGUACCAAACGAAUAAGGACCGGCUAAUUACGUG